UCUGCCAAGAAAAUAUCAACGAAAUCACCAUCUGUAACACCAUAGCACCCACUUAGCAACACCUUAAAACCACCUGAAACACUUGUGAUUAGAGACAUGAACUGAAUUGUCCCUGGUCAAGGGUAGGCAGGAAGCGUAGGGGGCUUGAUUCGGAAUGGGACGCGGCCACUUCACCGCUGUUGUUAUGAUCCACCCUCGAUGUCUCGAUGGCUACUUCUGAGGCCCCUCCCUCCCUACUAGCAACUGAAGUUGAGACUAGAACCAUCUUCAUAUCUGUCAAACACGCGUCACGAAACUACUGGAAACCAGGUUUCACCCUGAGUCCGUCCUUCAGUUCGGGUUCUGCUGAAUUUUUAUUAAGUUGGGUUUAUUCCUGUGGUGUUAAGGAUGCACUCGGGGGCGGUAGAGAAGGCUGGCUCGCCCAGAAAACGCGUCCUCUCCCGGGGGAUGAGCGAGGAAGAGACGCUGCGGCAUAUUAUAAAAGAGGCUGAAGAGUCGAACAAGCGCACUUUAUCACGCAGCGACAGCAGAUAUGGAUCACUCAAACGAGGAGAAACAAGAGAAAGCCUGAGUGAAGAGGAGCAUGCAGGAAAUCCUGAAAUGCUGGAGCUUCAGGCAAACUAUGAAGACUCUUUGCAGGAGCUGCAGACCCUCGAGCUCAGGCAGGAGGUGCUGUUAUUCCAGGUGGACUGUCUCCAGGAUGCCCUCCAGGGAGCUGAAGAGAUGCUCGCUGAGACGCAGAGAGAAUCUCAAGAAGCCCAUAUGGAGCUGGAGCGAGAGAGGGAGCGGAGGAGGAAGCUGGAGGAUUCUGUAGCUCGGCUGGUGCAGGAGGUGGAGCGGUUGAAGGAGGAAAACAGUUCUCUUUCUGCUGAGCUGGUCAGAAGCACCGCUGAGACCGUUGGAGCCGAAGGUAACCUUGUUGAUGCAGUAGAUGGAGGAGUUCCCAACUCCACCCCCAGUUCAGAUGGAGUCUCACAGUCUUCAGCCUCUACUUUUGCAUCUUCAGAACAGAAGAUGUUGGGUAUUCUGACCUCCUUGUUCAAGAACAGAAGACUGGAGCCUAGCUUAUUAAAGCCUGCAGGUCCUCAGAGCUCUUCAGGAGGAUCGUCGGUGGACCAGGAAGUGAAGGAACCUGAGAAACCGGCUGAGCUGAGGGCGGAGUCAGGGCUUGAGGGUGGAGUUAGCCAGAAAGCUCUGGACGGGGAGGAAAAUGAUGAGAGCAGUGGGUAUGAAGACGCACCAUCAGAGUUCUCACCCGCCUCAACUCCGGAGGGCUGCGCUGGGCUGUUGGAAGAUGAAGUUGUUACUGAAGAUGGAGAACCAAGCAACAGUGAUGAUCCUAUAUUCCAGAAGAACCCAGGAGACUCCUGCAUUCUGUCUUAA
rnacentral:lncRNA from 1 species